GGAUUGCAAUGGGGGAACCCUGAUGCAGCAACGCCGCGUGAAGGAUGAAGGUUUUCGGAUUGUANACUUCUUUGAUUGGGGACGAAUAAUGACGGUACCCAAAAAACAAGCCACGGCUAACUACGUGCCAGCAGCCGCGGUAAUACGUAGGUGGCGAGCGUUGUCCGGAAUUACUGGGUGUAAAGGGCGUGUAGGCGGGGAUGUAAGUCAGAUGUGAAAUUCCAUGGCUCAACUGUGGCGCUGCAUCUGAAACUAUAUCUCUUGAGUGCUGGAGAGGAAAGCGGAAUUCCUAGUGUAGCGGUGAAAUGCGUAGAUAUUAGGAGGAACACCAGUGGCGAAGGCGGCUUUCUGGACAGUAACUGACGCUGAGGCGCGAAAGCGUGGGGAGCAAACAGGAUUAGAUACCCUGGUAGUCCACGCUGUAAACGAUGGAUACUAGGUGUAGGAGGUAUCGACCCCUUCUGUGCCGGAGUUAACACAAUAAGUAUCCCACCUGGGGAGUACGGCCGCAAGGUUGAAACUCAAAGAAAUUGACGGA
rnacentral:rRNA from 1 species